AGUUUAAUUAAAAAAAUUAAAAACAAAAUAAAUAAAAUAAUGUGCAUUCGCGUAAAGUUAGACCAAAUACAUUUUUUCCAUCCUCCUAUAUACCUAUCGCUAUGAAGGUAUAAAAAAGAUAGGUUAAGAGUUCACAUAGGUAAUAUAAACAAAUAAGUAAAUAUGUUCAUUAUUUAUCUUUCAAGAGAUAAUGUAGGUAUACAUUAUAAUAACAUUUUGACACAGUCGAAAUUAUAUUCCUAACAUUAGUAAAAUAACAUUUUAAUAUUUUUUUUAUAGGUUAUGUAUUGAAAUUGUUGGAAAAUUAUUUCAUGUUUUAGCUGGAAAACUACAUGGAGAAUUAUAUGCAAUACAAGAUAAUGAGCUCCAUUAAAUGAAUUCGAAUGAAACCAAACUGUUUACCAUCCAAAUUCGAUUGUCGGGCAGAUAGAAAACGAAAAUUCACUCAUAGUGAACCUCGGCCUGCAUUUGUGAAACGGCAAAGACUCACUAUUAUCAAGGAAAUUGAAGAGACAACUAAAAAUGAGAUGUGUCGUAUUAUUAUACCUUUGCCAUCUUGUAGUCAAGAUGUCCAGCCACUUGAAAAUAGGUGUAGUAAUGACAAAGCUAUCCAAGUAGCUCCAGCACAGGAACACGAAGGCAAGGCAAGUGUGUAUUGCCACAUCACCCCUUAAUAUAUCUGAAGCAAGUAUAAGUAAACAAUCAGAACCAGCAAAAAGAAAACUGUUGUUCCUGAGGACAAAUUUGACAGUGAUUAGUCAAAUGCACCAGCAACAGAAGGAUCAACUGUUGACUAUGAGUUAUCUCUCUAUAUCUCCACUCCAUCAAAGACUUGUGCACUUCAGACUAUAGCUCUCAAAAAGACUAAAAAGUUGAAAAAAUGAAUGUGUUAACAACUUUAUCUAAAGUGAAAAAUAAACAACGUUUAUAUAUUGGUCUUCCACAAGAAUUAUGUUUCAUAAUAGGCUUGAUUGAGAAACAUACAAAUGUUUCUGAACAAAAUAUUAUAUUAUGUCUGAUGAGAAUAACAUUAAAUAGAACAUUCUCUCAAUUGGCUGAUGAUUUCGAUUUAUCUGUAAGUCAAGCAAGCAAUAUAUUUUUCCCAGAAAUUGCAAAUGUAAUAUCACCCCUUGUUAGACUAUAAAAAAAACAAUACAAUAAAUAUAUAUGCAGGAAGGAUAAUUGAUGUCAACUUGGUGGAAAAUAGAAAGUUUUUAGAUAGUUUGCCACCUACAAAACUCUUUAAUUAAAUAAGUAAUCCUUACUUAUAAAUAGGAAGUUUUGUAAGUAUUUUCACUCUUCAUUCAAAAAUUACUGAACAGAUUUUAAUAAGACUUUUAUGCUGGUCUUCUAUGGCUAGCAACUCAUUAUUAUUUUGAUUCUGUUUUCCACAAAUGUGCUAAAUAUGGGCUUAUAUAUAUGAAAAGGAAUAAAUAUUAAUGUUAUGUAACCUUUGUACCUGUAUGUUAAGAAUAAUUUUUAAUAAAACAUAAUUUAAAUUGAAAUAUUAUUUUUAUUAAAUCACAUUCACUUUGUACACAUCAAUAUUUUGUACUCCCUAAAAGGAAAAUAGGUAUAAAGUUUUUUUUAAAUAUUUAACAUUACAUUUUUGUCUAGGAUUAGAAAAUUGUUAUUCUUCCAAAAAGAAACUACAUUAUCUAACAACUGUGCAACUUACUCGGAAUCAAAAUCAAUACCUACUAAUUAUAGUGACCUGAUUAGUUUUUUCAAAGUUGCUGGAUGCUACACAAAAGUAGCAAGUUUUACUUUUAGCACAAUACAUAUGCAUUUGAACAAAUGUUUCUGAACAAAAUAUUAUAUUAUGUCUGAUGAGAAUAACAUUAAAUAGAACAUUCUCUCAAUUGGCUGAUGAUUUCGAUUUAUCUGUAAGUCAAGCAAGCAAUAUAUUUUUCAACAAACUCCCAGAAAUUGCAAAUGUAAUAUCACCCCUUGUUAGACUAUAAAAAAAAUAAUACAAUAAAUAUAUAUGCAGGAAGGAUAAUUGAUGUCAACUUGGUGGAAAAUAGAAAGUUUUUAGAUAGUUUGCCACCUACAAAACUCUUUAAUUAAAUAAGUAAUCCUUACUUAUAAAUAGGAAGUUUUGUAAGUAUUUUCACUCUUCAUUCAAAAAUUACUGAACAGAUUUUAAUAAGACUUUUAUGCUGGUCUUCUAUGGCUAGCAACUCAUUAUUAUUUUGAUUCUGUUUUCCACAAAUGUGCUAAAUAUGGGCUUAUAUAUAUGAAAAGGAAUAAAUAUUAAUGUUAUGUAACCUUUGUACCUGUAUGUUAAGAAUAAUUUUUAAUAAAACAUAAUUUAAAUUGAAA